rnacentral:rRNA from 1 species
AUUGAACGCUGGCGGCAUGCUUUACACAUGCAAGUCGAACGGCAGCACGGACUUCGGUCUGGUGGCGAGUGGCGAACGGGUGAGUAAUACAUCGGAACGUGCCCAGUUGUGGGGGAUAACUACUCGAAAGAGUAGCUAAUACCGCAUGAGAACUGAGGUUGAAAGCAGGGGAUCGUAAGACCUUGCGCAACUGGAGCGGCCGAUGGCAGAUUAGGUAGUUGGUGGGAUAAAAGCUUACCAAGCCGACGAUCUGUAGCUGGUCUGAGCGGACGAACAGCCACACUGGGACUGAGACACGGCCCAGACUCCUACGGGAGGCAGCAGUGGGGAAUUUUGGACAAUGGGCGAAAGCCUGAUCCAGCAAUGCCGCGUGCAGGAUGAAGGCCUUCGGGUUGUAAACUGCUUUUGUACGGAACGAAAAGCUUCGGGCUAAUACCCUGGAGUCAUGACGGUACCCUAAGAAUAAGCACCGGCUAACUACGUGCCAGCCGCCGCCGUAAGAC